GUGCCAGCGCCCGCGGUAAUACGUANGGUGCAAGCGUUAAUCGGAAUUACUGGGCGUAAAGCGUGCGCAGGCGGUUUUGUAAGUCUGAUGUGAAAGCCCCGGGCUCAACCUGGGAAUUGCAUUGGAGACUGCAAGGCUUGAAUCUGGCAGAGGGGGGUAGAAUUCCACGUGUAGCAGUGAAAUGCGUAGAGAUGUGGAGGAACACCGAUGGCGAAGGCAGCCCCCUGGGUCAAGAUUGACGCUCAUGCACGAAAGCGUGGGGAGCAAACAGGAUUAGAUACCCUGGUAGUCCACGCCCUAAACGAUGUCUACUAGUUGUCGGGUUUUAAUUAACUUGGUAACGCAGCUAACGCGUGAAGUAGACCGCCCGGGGAGUACGGUCGCAAGAUUAAAACUCAAAGGAAUUGACGGGGACCCGCACAAGCGGUGGAUGAUGUGGAUUAAUUCGAUGCAACGCGAAAAACCUUACCUACCCUUGGACAUGGAAGGAAUCCUGGAGAGAUCCGGGAGUGCCCGAAAGGGAGCCUUCACACAGGUGCUGCAUGGCUGUCGUCAGCUCGUGUCCUGGAGAUG
rnacentral:rRNA from 1 species